CCUAACACAUGCAAGUCGAACGCUUUUGGGGCUUCGGCCCCGAGGGAGUGGCGCACGGGUGAGUAGCGCGUGGGAACCUGCCCUGUUGUGGGGGAUAACCGAGGGAAACUUCGGCUAACAGACGCAUGCGCCCCUGCGAAAGCAGGGGGAAAGAUUUAUCGCAGCAGGAGGGGCCCGCGUCGGAUUAGCUAGUUGGCGGGGUAACGGCAAACAGGCACCGAUCCGUAGCUGGUCUAAGAGGAUGAUCAGCCACACUGGGACUGAGGAACGGCCCGGAGCCUACGGGAGGCAGCAGUGGGGAAUAUUGGGAAAUGGGCGCAAGCCUGAUCCAGCAAUGCCGCGUGAGUGAUGAAGGCCUUAGGGUUGUAAAGCUCUUUCGCCCGCGACGAUGAUGACGGUAGCGGUAUACAGAAGCCCCGGCUAACUUCGUGCCAGCAGCCGCGGUAACAUAUACAGGGGGCGAGCGUUGUUCGGAGGAACUGGGCGUAAAGGGCGCGUAGGCGGCCCUCCUUGUCGCGUGUGAAAGCCCCGGGCUCAACCUGGGAAUUGCGCGCUAUACCGGGGGGGCUUGAGUUCGGUAUACGGAGCGCGGAAUUCCCAGUGUAGAGGUGAAAUUCGUAGAUAUUGGGAAGAACACCGGUGGCGAAGGCGGCGCUCUGGACCGAGACUGACGCUGAGGCGCGAAAGCGUGGGGAGCAAACAGGAUUAGGAA
rnacentral:rRNA from 1 species